rnacentral:tRNA from 1 species
UGCCGAAUUGUGUAAAGGUAGCACUCCGGUUUCUGGCACCGUCUGUCUGGGUUCGAAUCCUAGUUCGGCAGCCA